rnacentral:rRNA from 1 species
CUAUGCGCCUUGCCCAGCCCGCUCAGUCAGAGUUUGAUCCUGGCUCAGAUUGAACGCUGGCGGCAGGCUUAACACAUGCAAGUCGAGCGGGCGAGGUUGCUUCGGUAACUGAGCUAGCGGCGGACGGGUGAGUAAUGCUUAGGAAUCUGCCUAUUAGUGGGGGGACAACAUUCCGAAAGGAAUGCUAAUACCGCAUACGUCCUACGGGAGAAAGCAGGGGAGUCUUCGGACCUUGCGCUAAUAGAUGAGCCUAAGUCAGAUUAGCUAGUUGGUGGGGUAAAGGCCUACCAAGCGACGAUCUGUAGCGGGUCUGAGAGGAUGAUCCGCCACACUGGGACUGAGACACGGCCCAG